AUCCUAAGAAGAGCUUGACGGCUCAGCAAGUUCUUGAUCAUACAUGGCUGCAGAAUGCAAGUAAAGCUCCCAAUGUUAAUCUAGGUGAAACCGUACGAGCAAGACUUCAGCAAUUCUCUGGGAUGAACAAACUUAAAAAGAAAGCUCUACGGGUUGUGGCUGAAUACCUCUCUGUCGAGGAAGUUGCAGACAUAAAGGAAAUGUUUGACAAGAUGGACAUUAAUCAAGAUGGGAAACUAUGCUUUGAGGAGCUGAAACUCGGUUUGCAUAAGCUCGGUCACCAGAUUUCAGAUUC